rnacentral:rRNA from 1 species
UUGAACGCUGGCGGAAUGCUUUACACAUGCAAGUCGAGCGGCAGCGCGGGGCAACCUGGCGGCGAGCGGCGAACGGGUGAGUAACAUAUCGGAACGUACCCUAUCGUGGGGGAUAACACAUCGAAAGAUGUGCUAAUACCGCAUACGACCUGAGGGUGAAAGCGGGGGAUCGCAAGACCUCGCGCGACAGGAGCGGCCGAUAUCGGAUUAGCUAGUUGGUGAGGUAAAGGCUCACCAAGGCGACGAUCCGUAGCUGGUCUGAGAGGACGACCAGCCACACUGGAACUGAGACACGGCCCAGACUCCUACGGGAGGCAGCAGUGGGGAAUUUUGGACAAUGGGGGCAACCCUGAUCCAGCCAUGCCGCGUGAGUGAAGAAGGCCUUCGGGUUGUAAAGCUCUUUCGGAGGGGAAGAAACGGUUACGGCCAAUACCCGUGACUAAUGACGGUACCCUAAGAAGAAGCACCGGCUAACUACGU